AAGAAAAACAGAAACCACUCCCUCGUUUUUUUUCAUGAGAAACGUCAUCUAAAUAGACCUGGAUUGAAUAUUAAUUUCCAAACGCGUUCUGUGCAGUUUCCGAAAUUCAUUUAUUUGUUUCUCGUUGGAUAUUACACUUUACAUUAAAGGGCCAGAUCGAGAAGGUUACCGUCAUGUACGCCACCUCCGUUUCACAAGGUCAAGCAAUUGACGAUUUCCACCCUCGAAGCCAGUACGACGAAUCAGGAAACUUGGUCGUUCACAUUUGUAUUCGACUUCGGCAGGGCACAUCCGGUGUGGUAAAAGUUGCAUACGAAUCAAAUCGUAUUAGGAAAAAGCCUGGAAGAGGGGCACUAGACUGGCCCAGCUUAGUAUGGGGAGAAAAAAAUGUUGUCGAAUUCCACGGGGCACCCCCCAGAAUUGUGUUUUAAGUCAAAAUGUAUAGGAAAAUACACAUCCGUCACUUAUUCGUUCUGGAAAUUGGUUCUGAUUGCUCGAUAGAACGUCGUACUGUGGACAAAGUGAGCCAGCAGAUCAUCAGUUACUUCCUGCGCGAGAACACUAUCUUGUUUACGGUAAGCCAAGGAGGAA